GGGGAAUUUUGGACAAUGGGCGAAAGCCUGAUCCAGCAAUGCCGCGUGAGUGAAGAAGGCCUUCGGGUUGUAAAGCUCUUUUGUCAGGGAAGAAACGGUUUGGGCUAAUACCCUGAGCUAAUGACGGUACCUGAAGAAUAAGCACCGGCUAACUACGUGCCAGCAGCCGCGGUAAUACGUAGGGUGCAAGCGUUAAUCGGAAUUACUGGGCGUAAAGCGUGCGCAGGCGGUUUUGUAAGUCUGACGUGAAAUCCCCGGGCUCAACCUGGGAAUUGCGUUGGAGACUGCAAGGCUAGAAUCUGGCAGAGGGGGGUAGAAUUCCACGUGUAGCAGUGAAAUGCGUAGAGAUGUGGAGGAACACCGAUGGCGAAGGCAGCCCCCUGGGUCAAGAUUGACGCUCAUGCACGAAAGCGUGGGGAGCAAAC
rnacentral:rRNA from 1 species